CAAGUUCCGACCUGCACGAAUCGUGUAACGAUCGCGGCACUGUCUCGAAGUGGAGCUCGGCGAAUUUGUAAUUCCGGUGAAAAUGCCGGAUACCUGCAGUAGGACGGAAAGACCCUGUGAACCUUUACUGUAAUCUGAUAUUGGUAUUCGGGCAAUCAUGUGUAGCAUAGGUGGGAGACUUCGAAGCCGCGGCGCCAGCCCCGGUGGAGUCUUCAGUGAAAUACCACCCUUGGUUGUUUGAAUCUCUAACCUUCUCCCGUCUAUCCGGGUAAGGGACCGUGUCAGAGGGUCAGUUUGACUGGGGCGGUUUCCUCCAAAAUUGUAACGGAGGAGCACGAAGGUACAUUCAGCACGGUUGGCAAUCGUGCUUAGAGCGUAAGGGCAUAAAUGUGCUUGACUGCGAGACUUACAAGUCGAGCAGAUGCGAAAGCAGGUCCUAGUGAUCCAGCGAUGGAACGUGGAAUCGUCGUUGCUCAACGGACAAAAGGUACUCCGGGGAUAACAGGCUGAUAGCGCCCAAGCGUCCAUAGCGACGGCGCUGUUUGGCACCUCGAUGUCGGCUCAUCUCAUCCUGGGGCUGUAGAAGGUCCCAAGGGUCCGGCUGUUCGCCGGUUAAAGAGGUACGCGAGCUGGGUUCAAAACGUCGCAAGACAGUUUGGUCCUUAUCCACUGCGGGCGCAGGACAUUUGACAAGAUCAUUCCUUAGUACGAGAGGACCGGGAAUGACUGACCUCUGGUAUUCCAGUUGUCUCUAAAGAGGCAGCGCUGGGUAGCUACGUCGGGAAAGGAUAAGCGCUGAAAGCAUCUAAGCGCCAAGCCCCCUUGAAGAUGAGAUGUCCCUGGAUCUUUGAUCCCUGAAGACCACUUGAAGACCACAAGUUCGAUAGGAUGCACGUGUAAGGGCAGCAAUGCCUUCAGCUUAGCAUUACUAACCGGUCGUGAGGCUUGACCAC
rnacentral:rRNA from 1 species